AGGCUUUGAUCCUGGCUCAGGAUGAACGCUGGCGGCGUGCUUAACACAUGCAAGUCGAACGAACCUUCGGGUUAGUGGCGGACGGGUGAGUAACGCGUGAGAAUCUGCCCUCAGGAGGGGGAUAACGGCUGGAAACGGCCGCUAAUACCCCAUAUGCCGAGAGGUGAAACGAAUUUCGCCUGAGGAUGAGCUCGCGUCUGAUUAGCUAGUUGGUGGGGUAAAGGCUACCAAGGCGACGAUCAGUAGCUGGUCUGAGAGGAUGAUCAGCCACACUGGGACUGAGACACGGCCCAGACUCCUACGGGAGGCAGCAGUGGGGAAUUUUCCGCAAUGGGCGAAAGCCUGACGGAGCAACGCCGCGUGAGGGAUGAAGGCCUCUGGGCUGUAGACCUCUUUUCUCAAGGAAGAAGAUCUGACGGUACUUGAGGAAUAAGCCACGGCUAUU
rnacentral:rRNA from 1 species